rnacentral:rRNA from 1 species
GGGGAAUUUUCCGCAAUGGGCGAAAGCCUGACGGAGCAAUGCCGCGUGGAGGAGGAAGGCCUGAGGGUUGUAAACUCCUUUUCUCAGAAAAGAAGAUCUGACGGUAUCUGAGGAAUAAGCAUCGGCUAACUCCGUGCCAGCAGCCGCGGUAAGACGGAGGAUGCAAGCGUUAUUCGGAAUGAUUGGGCGUAAAGCGUCUGUAGGUGGUUUAUUAAGUCUGCUGUUAAAGCACAGGGCUCAACCCUGUAUAGGCGGUAGAAACUGGUAGGCUUGAGUAUGGUAGGGGUAGAGGGAAUUCCCGAUGUAGUGGUGAAAUGCGUUGAUAUCGGGAAGAACACCGAAGGCGAAAGCACUCUGCUGGGCCAAUACUGACACUAAGAGACGAAAGCUAGGGGAGCAAAUGGGAUUAGAUACCCCAGUAGUC